rnacentral:rRNA from 1 species
UACGUAGGGUCCGAGCGUUGUCCGGAAUUACUGGGCGUAAAGAGCUCGUAGGUGGUUUGUCGCGUUGUUCGUGAAAACUCACAGCUUAACUGUGGGCGUGCGGGCGAUACGGGCAGACUAGAGUACUGCAGGGGAGACUGGAAUUCCUGGUGUAGCGGUGGAAUGCGCAGAUAUCAGGAGGAACACCGGUGGCGAAGGCGGGUCUCUGGGCAUUACCUGACGCUGAGGAGCGAAAGUGUGGGGAGCGAACAGG